rnacentral:rRNA from 1 species
GCAGUUGUGCGUCCUGAGCAAUGGUGGGACGCAGCGUACGGCUCAGUAACACGUGGCUAACCUACCCUUAGGACCGGAACAACCCCGGGAAACUGGGACUAAUUCCGGAUAAGUGAGGAGGCCUGGAAUGGUUUCUCACUAAAAGGGCGUUAGGAGCAUGCUUCCUUUCGUUGCCUAAGGAUGGGGCCGCGGCCGAUCAGGUUGUUGGUGAGGUAAAGGCUCACCAAGCCUAUAACCGGUACGGGCCAUGAGAGUGGGAGCCCGGAGAUGGGCACUGAGACAAGGGCCCAGGCCCUACGGGGCGCAGCAGUUGCGAAAACUCCGCAAUGCGCGAGAGCGUGACGGGGUUAACCCGAGUGCUAUCCGCUGAGGGUAGCUUUUUUCUGGUGUAAUGAGUCAGACGAAUAAGGGGAGGGCAAGACUGGUGUCAGCCGCCGCGGUAAUACCAGCUCCCCGAGUGGUAGGGACGAUUAUUGGGCUUAAAGCGUCCGUAGCUGGCUUGACAAGUCUUUCGUUAAAUCCAGCGACCUAAUCGUUGGUCUGCGGGAGAUACUAUCUAGCUUGGGGGCGGAAGAGGUCGACGGUACUCUCGGGGUAGGGGUGAAAUCCUAUAAUCCUGAGAAGACCACCAGUGGCGAAGGCGGUCGGCUAGAACGCGCUCGACGGUGAUGGACGAAAGCUGGGGUAGCAAACCGGAUUAGAUACCCGGGUAGUCCCAGCCGUAAACGAUGCGGGCUAGGUGUC